GAGUGGCGGACGGGUGAGUAAUGCUUGGGAACUUGCCUUUGCGAGGGGGAUAACAGUUGGAAACGACUGCUAAUACCGCAUAAUGUCUUCGGACCAAACGGGGCUUCGGCUCCGGCGCAAAGAGAGGCCCAAGUGAGAUUAGCUAGUUGGUAAGGUAACGGCUUACCAAGGCGACGAUCUCUAGCUGUUCUGAGAGGAAGAUCAGCCACACUGGGACUGAGACACGGCCCAGACUCCUACGGGAGGCAGCAGUGGGGAAUAUUGCACAAUGGGGGAAACCCUGAUGCAGCCAUGCCGCGUGUGUGAAGAAGGCCUUCGGGUUGUAAAGCACUUUCAGUUGUGAGGAAAAGUUAGUAGUUAAUACCUGCUAGCCGUGACGUUAACAACAGAAGAAGCACCGGCUAACUCCGUGCCAGCAGCCGCGGUAAUACGGAGGGUGCGAGCGUUAAUCGGAAUUACUGGGCGUAAAGCGCACGCAGGCGGUUUGUUAAGCUAGAUGUGAAAGCCCCGGGCUCAACCUGGGAUGGUCAUUUAGAACUGGCAGACUAGAGUCUUGGAGAGGGGAGUGGAAUUCCAGGUGUAGCGGUGAAAUGCGUAGAUAUCUGGAGGAACAUCAGUGGCGAAGGCGACUCCCUGGCCAAAGACUGACGCUCAUGUGCGAAAGUGUGGGUAGCGAACAGGAUUAGAUACCCUGGUAGUCCACACCGUAAACGCUGUCUACUAGCUGUGUGUGCCUUUA
rnacentral:rRNA from 1 species